CGCCAGCAUCCUAGCCGAAGCGCGGACCUCAGUCCCGGCUGGCCGUAUUACACCCUGGGCUAUAACACCUCCACCGAAGUGGAGGCCACAUUCCCAGAGCCUUUAUCCGGCCGCCGAAACUGAUGCUGGCCUGUCCAAACUGAGUAAACCGGUCAGAAGACCGGCCGAACAGUUUAAACAAGUCUGAUUGCAAGCGCUUCCCUUUCAACAAUUUCACGUGCUUUUUAACUCUCUUUCCAAAGUGCUUUUCAUCUUUCGAUCACUCUACUUGUGCGCUAUCGGUCUCUCGCCAAUAUUUAGCUUUAGAAGAAAUUUACCUCCCAUUUAGAGCUGCAUUCCCAAACAACUCGACUCGUCGAAGGAGAUUUACAUAGGGUGCCAUUUCCUGUCACAUACGGGAUUCUCACCCUCUAUGACGUCCUGUUCCAAGGAACUUAGACAGGCGGCUUCCCCAAAUCAUCCUCUACAAAUUACAAUGCGAACCCGAAGGCUAGCUUUCAAAUUUGAGCUGUUGCCGCUUCACUCGCCGUUACUAGGGC
rnacentral:rRNA from 1 species